rnacentral:rRNA from 1 species
GAUGAACGCUGGCGGCGUGCCUAAUACAUGCAAGUCGAGCGAAUGGAUUAAGAGCUUGCUCUUAUGAAGUUAGCGGCGGACGGGUGAGUAACACGUGGGUAACCUGCCCAUAAGACUGGGAUAACUCCGGGAAACCGGGGCUAAUACCGGAUAACAUUUUGAACCGCAUGGUUCGAAAUUGAAAGGCAACUUCGGCUGUCACUUAUGGAUGGACCCGCGUCGCAUUAGCUAGUUGGUGAGGUAACGGCUCACCAAGGCAACGAUGCGUAGCCGAGCUGGGAGGUGGAUCGGCACCACUGGGACUGAGACACGGCCCAGACUCCUACGGGAGGCAGCAGUAGUGAAUCUUCCGCAAUGGACGAAAGUCUGACGGAGCAACGCCGCGCGAGUGAUGAAGGCUUUCGGGUCGUAAAACUCUGUUGUUAGGGAAGAACAAGUGCUAGUUGAAUAAGCUGGCACCUUGACGGUACCUAACCAGAAAGCCACGGCUAACUACGUGCCAGCCGCCGCCGUAA